GAUGAACGCUAGCGGCAGGCCUAACACAUGCAAGUCGAACGGUAACAGGGAAGAGCUUGCUCUUCCGCUGACGAGUGGCGCACGGGUGCGUAACGCGUAUACAAUCUACCUUUUACAGGGGGAUAGCCUUUGGAAACGAAGAAUAAUACCCCAUGGUAAGUAUUUAUGGCAUCAUAGAAACUUUAAAGAUUCGUCGGUAAAAGAUGAGUAUGCGUCCUAUUAGCUAGAUGGUGUGGUAACGGCACACCAUGGCGACGAUAGGUAGGGGCCCUGAGAGGGGGAUCCCCCACACUGGUACUGAGACACGGACCAGACUCCUACGGGAGGCAGCAGUGAGGAAUAUUGGACAAUGGGCGAGAGCCUGAUCCAGCCAUGCCGCGUGCAGGAAGACUGCCCUAUGGGUUGUAAACUGCUUUUAUACGGGAAGAAACCCACCUACGUGUAGGUGGCUGACGGUACCGUAAGAAUAAGGAUCGGCUAACUCCG
rnacentral:rRNA from 1 species